UAAGGAAUAUUGGUCAAUGGACGCAAGUCUGAACCAGCCAUGCCGCGUGAAGGAUUAAGGUCCUCUGGAUUGUAAACUUCUUUUAUCUGGGACGAAAAAAGGCGAUUCUUCGUCACUUGACGGUACCAGAUGAAUAAGCACCGGCUAACUCCGUGCCAGCAGCCGCGGUAAUACGGAGGGUGCAAGCGUUAUCCGGAUUCACUGGGUUUAAAGGUGCGUAGGCGGGCAGGUAAGUCAGUGGUGAGAUCCCUGGAGCUUAACUCCAGAACUGCCAUUGAUACUAUCUGUCUUGAAUAUUGUGGAGGUAAGCGGAAUAUGUCAUGUAGCGGUGAAAUGCUUAGAUAUGACAUAGAACACCUAUUGCGAAGGCAGCUUACUACGCAUAUAUUGACGCUGAGGCACGAAAGCGUGGGGAUCAAACAGGAUUAGAUACCCUGGUAGUCCACGCCCUAAACGAUGGAUACUCGACAUACGCGAUACACUGUGUGUGUCUGAGCGAAAGCAUUAAGUAUCCCCACCUGGGGAAGUACGACCGCAAGGUUGAAACUUAAAAGGAAAUUGACGGGGUCAUAGCUGUUUCCUG
rnacentral:rRNA from 1 species